GUUGGGGAAAAUCAGACUAAAUAGUCUCUUUAAAAUGCGGAAUUAACUCUCCCAACCACCUGUGCAAUUAAAUGGGCAACCAGAAAAUUCCAAUAGCAGAGCAAAAUAAUAACGACGGUAAAAUAAAUAUCAGACACCAGAAUUUUACGUGGAAAAUCCUCUCAAUGUGAGAGAAUAAAAAACCACGGGCCUAGCCAGAUAAAUCUUCCACUAUAAAACAAUAAUGGGUACACAAAUAGUCUUCUAGUAAAUACUAGGAACACCAAUAAUCAUCACCUAAAGGUGGAAUCAAACAACAACUCAAUUUCCACACAAGUGGGUAAAUUAACACAACCUAGAGAGAGAUUUANNN
rnacentral:lncRNA from 1 species